UACGUAGGGUGCGAGCGUUGUCCGGAAUUAUUGGGCGUAAAGAGCUUGUAGGCGGUUUGUCGCGUCUGCUGUGAAAAUCCGGGGCUCAACCCCGGACUUGCAGUGGGUACGGGCAGACUAGAGUGUGGUAGGGGAGACUGGAAUUCCUGGUGUAGCGGUGAAAUGCGCAGAUAUCAGGAGGAACACCGAUGGCGAAGGCAGGUCUCUGGCCGACUACUGACGCUGAGAAGCGAAAGCAUGGGGAGCGAACAGG
rnacentral:rRNA from 1 species